rnacentral:snRNA from 1 species
AUACUUACCUGGCAGGGGAGACACCAUGAACAAGCAGGUGGUUUUCCCAGGGCGAGGCUGAUCACUUGCACUCUGGAUGUGCUGACCCCUCCGAUUUCCCCAAAUGCNGGAAACUCAACUGCAUAAUAUGUGGUAGUGGGUUUUUUUUUGUUCUUUUCUUU